UACAGUGAUACUUCGGUCUCGUCUUGUUGC
rnacentral:piRNA from 1 species